ensembl:lncRNA
GUAGAUUUCAAACCCGGAAGAUGAAAAUAGUGCAAAUAAGCUUAAAAUGAACCAGUUUUCUCCAAUAGUUAAAAUUAUCGGAUGCUAACAUUGUCUUCUAUGUUGUGCAACACAAACACCUCUGCUAAAAUCUCAGAAAAAGCAGUCUGGGGUUCAUGACCCUUUAAGACUUAAUUAAUCUUCAUAUAAAACAUAAAAGAGAGAGAGAUAUUUGUUUAAAUUUUAUUUUGUGUUUGAUACACAAAAUACAAAAACAAAAUAAUUAGUUGUUUGUCUUAAUAAAUUAUGCAAAUUAAAAAUACAGUGGUUAAAUUUAAGCACUUUUUUUUCUGUUGCUGUUAAAAAAAAAAGUUAUAGAAAAAUGUCAAUAAUUAUUGAUACCGAAUAAUAUGAAACAUUAUAUCAUUGAUACAUUUUUUGCUAUGUCGCCCAGCCCUACUGCAGAUAUAUAUUAUUGAAGUGCACGCUCUGAAUUGGACUCUAUGUGCUGCCCUCAUUUUACAAUGGUGAUAGAAAUACUAUGGUAAAUAAUUUAUAAUUAACAUGAGUUCAUGCGUGUUAUUAAAGACACACAGAUGCCUGUGAGAUGUUUGCUAAAUAUCCGCAGCUGUCUGCGACUCAGUCCUGCAGUGUGAAAUGUGUUCAGACUGGAAAUGCAUUCAGACAACAUUUAUCACAAGCUUCUUAACAGGAAGAAGUGCGGUCUCGUGUGAGCUUAUGUAGUUCUGAAAUGUUUGUAGAGCAGAUGAAGCUGUCUGUGAUUCUUCCUCUUGAAAAGUUGUGUAAUGUGUGCCCCCCGUCAGCGAUCUGUCGUGUAGUUUACACACAACAGCAGCGAGAUGAUCCUGCAGACAGUCGUGAGUGUGAACCCAGCAGAACUUAAAGAAGUGUGUAAUGAUGUGUGUUUGUCUGGAUUCACAUUCACAGUCUCAGCAGUUUUUCAUCAUAAUAUCUGUGCUUUGUGUUUGAUUCUCAGGAGAGGAGACUCUCUGUCUGUGAGACUUGCUCAGAAAAGAUUUGCCAUUCAUGAAUGUAACAAACCCAGGGAUCUGAAGAGAAGAAGUGACGUCCCAGAACAAACCAGACAGCAGUCGUUACAGUGGGAGAAGUAUCUGAUCUCCUGUUACAGUCACAACAGAGAAUAAUGUUCAGUGAUCAGAAAACUCACAUGCUUUUGUCAUUCAUCAAUACAUCAUAACCUUAUACACACGUCACAAUAUCUACUGUAACUAUGCAGAUUUCAUAGUCUGGAGUAUUUGGUGUACAGUUUGUGAACACUGUACAUUUAAGCAGAGAAUUCAUAAUUACAAAUAUUUUCAAAAAUUCAUGUCUGUUCAUGAAGUGCUGAAAGAUCUUUUAAUGGCUUCUCUGUUCAGUGCCUGGUUAGAAAACCUGCAUAUUUGAUUUACGACAAGUUGUCUUUUGCAGAUCUGCCAACAAAAAAAUGCAUGUCUUUAAAAUAGUUCACCCUUGGCCACGAUUUUUGUAUACUUUUCUUUUUUUGUAUACAUAAUUUUUGUGUCUUACUCAUAGUAGUCUAUACACGUCUGUGCUGAGCGUUGUUGGGGAAGUUACUCAAAAAUCAAGUUACUAUUAAUAGUUAUUUUCAUGUUACUGUCCUCACUGUUUUGCAAGGUUGUCAAUGUCCAGAACUGUCCCACUUGAAACAGCCCACUACAAGAAGAUUUCACUCAUUGACCACACUUUUGCUCUCCUUUUUCCCUUUUUUUAUUUUGAAAGUUUGAUGCAGUGUUCAUUUGGUCAAUCAUUCAGUCAGGUGAAAAACCUUUUAACAAAUACAAACACCACUUUAAGAGCAAGCACAAGUAGAUACAAUCAAAUACAAUCAGGAUUUAGCACACGCUGGAUUUAAAUGCUUGGUUUUAAACUACCAUAAAGCAGACCAUGUAAAUAGACAGCAGAUAUUCAACCUUUACACCGUAAAUACACUCAGACAAGAACAACAAUUUACAGUAAAUGUGCUCAGAUGUCUUUGCUGGAAUGUGGACUGUGCACUUCGUAUUUUCCACACAGAGAGUGAAUGUGCACGUGAUGACAGUUGAAAGGGACAUAUUCACAUUGUUACUGUACUCCUCCUCCUCUACAGUUCAUGAGUCAUGCGCAGACCUUUCUCUCGCUCAUAUCCAGCAGACUGCUGAUGUGUGGAGUGGAGAAGUGACGCCUGAGGUUGCAUUGCUGGGAAAAACAGUUGUGUUUAGAGAUGAGGAACAUUAUGAAAACUGAAUUUAAAGAGUAAACUUUAACACUUGAGGAGCCAUAAACUAUCUCAAGGGCCAAAAUGUGAAAACCCAGGUUUAAAAUUGCAUCUGCCAUCUCGAACUGCAGCAUUUGGGUGUCUGUUGACGUGUAUAGUCUGUUUUGAUUUUGUUUCUGAUGUUAAUUUAGCCUGAUUUCCCAGUCAUCGUUAGUUUCCUUUGUUGUCAGUCAGCACACCUGUCCUGUUUUCUGUUGAUUGUACUCUGUCUGUAUUGAAGCCCUCAGCUCAUAGUUUUCAUGUUGUUUCAGUUUAUGUGGCUUGCUAAAUGUUUUUUCUAAAUGUUUGUAAUUCUGAAUAAAGACUGUGGUGCUACUUUGUCGUUGUGUUGU